UAGGGAAUCUUCCACAAUGGACGCAAGUCUGAUGGAGCAACGCCGCGUGAGUGAAGAAGGUCUUCGGAUCGUAAAACUCUGUUGUUAGAGAAGGACACGAGUGAGAGUAACUGUUCAUUCGAUGACGGUAUCUAACCAGCAAGUCACGGCUAACUACGUGCCAGCAGCCGCGGUAAUACGUAGGUGGCAAGCGUUGUCCGGAUUUAUUGGGCGUAAAGGGAACGCAGGCGGUCUUUUAAGUCUGAUGUGAAAGCCUUCGGCUUAACCGGAGUAGUGCAUUGGAAACUGGAAGACUUGAGUGCAGAAGAGGAGAGUGGAACUCCAUGUGUAGCGGUGAAAUGCGUAGAUAUGUGGAAGAACACCAGUGGCGAAAGCGGCUCUCUGGUCUGUAACUGACGCUGAGGUUCGAAAGCGUGGGUAGCAAACAGGAUUAGAUACCCUGGUAGUCCACGCCGUAAACGAUGAAUGCUAGGUGUUGGAGGGUUUCCGCCCUUCAGUGCCGCAGCUAACGCAAUAAGCAUUCCGCCUGGGGAGUACGACCGCAAGGUUG
rnacentral:rRNA from 1 species